rnacentral:lncRNA from 1 species
UGCAGCCAGAAGAACAUGAAUUCGCCAUCAGCCCCGGGUUACUCAAGAGAACUGAGGAACCCGUCCAGUGAGUUUCAUAAUUAGGUUGUAUAAGGGCACGUUACGUAUGAGGGCUUUAGAAGCCAGCGGGCUACAAAUGCAGUUCCUUGCCGCACUGAAAACAUUGAUUUAACCGCCAACUCGGACUGUGAACCAACCAUGACAACGAACAGGGAGAAAGUAAUUGGAAGUCAAGUCAUUUCAGCCGAACUUGUGGCUGGACUACUACUCAGCAUGGCGUAUAGGAUGUGUUCCAGUUUGGCUUUUUCCUCAGAGGGGGGAAGCGUCAGUGACGAAAGCGCGCAGUUUGAAGUAACGCGCUCACUCGUAUGUGUGUGGGUUGCCAGUAAUUAAGUUCAUUUUCUUCAAAAGCAACAACCAUCCAAUUUCUCUGUCUGCUAAUUCCGUCUCGAGGCUUGUUGCCUUCCUUUCACUGUUGGGAGUCUGCAGAGAGGCACACGUUCAAGGAACAGACUGCAGCCAUGUGUGUACUGUAACAUGAUGUGUGCAUUUUAUUAUAUUAAGUCACUUUGGUAUAGUAAUCAUCUAAACAUAAAUGUAAAAUGCAGUGCUCUCUGUUGCAUGUAAUGCCUUAAAAAAUCAAAUGUUUGUUACAUGCCAGUUAAAUCCAUAAAUCUGGACUUUUUCUCUCCAGCUUCCCAUGGUGGAUGUGGCGGUGUUCUUAUUCUUUCUUCUAAGCAGUUUGAUUCUUUUGAUCUUGGAUCACAAUCAGUUGAAAGGCUCUUUGAAACGAUCUGAACUGCUCACUAAGCCCCAGAGGUUUUUCCUUCAAAUUGAUUUUUUUGCCAACUUCAUUUGUGGCCUCAUGUGGUUGGUUUUUCCAGGAUGGCUUCUUGGGUCACAGAUUAAUGGAUCUGAGGAUCAUCUUUAUCUCACUCGGGCAUUUGGAGCCAUGAUGGUUGGAGACAGCUUUGUUUCUUUUACCACUCAGAAACAAAUGGGAUCCAAUGAGGUAUCUGUCUUCAGCAGCCGAGCUGUGGUAUGUCAUAUUACAACAUAUUACAACUUUUUAACACUGAUUUUGCUCCAACAUGAUUA